rnacentral:rRNA from 1 species
AUGGUACUGGAAGAAUAAGCACCGGCUAACUACGUGCCAGCAGCCGCGGUAAUACGUAGGGUGCGAGCGUUAAUCGGAAUUACUGGGCGUAAAGCGUGCGCAGGCGGUCUUGUAAGACAGUCGUGAAAGCCCCGGGCUUAACCUGGGAACUGCGAUUGUGACUGCAAGGCUAGAGUGUGUCAGAGGGGGGUGGAAUUCCACGUGUAGCAGUGAAAUGCGUAGAGAUGUGGAGGAACACCGAUGGCGAAGGCAGCCCCCUGGGAUAACACUGACGCUCAUGCACGAAAGCGUGGGGAGCAAACAGGAUUAGAUACCCUGGUAGUCCACGCCCUAAACGAUGUCAACUGGUUGUUGGAAGGGUAACCUUUUAGUAACGAAGCUAACGCGUGAAGUUGACCGCCUGGGGAGUACGGUCGCAAGAUUAAAACUCAAAGGAAUUGACGGGGACCCGCACGAGCGGUGGAUGAUGUGGUUUAAUUCGAUGCAACGCGAAAAACCUUACCUACACUUGACAUGCCAGAUAUCCUGCAGAGAUGUGGGAGUGCCGCAA